rnacentral:rRNA from 1 species
GGCGGCCGCGGGAUUCGAUUUAGGGAAUAUUGGACAAUGGGUGAGAGCCUGAUCCAGCCAUGCCGCGUGCAGGAAGAAGGCCUUCUGGGUUGUAAACCGCUUUUGCCAGGGGAUAAAAUUCUCAUGCGUGAGAAAUUGAAGGUACCUGGUGAAUAAGCCACGGCUAACUACGUGCCAGCAGCCGCGGUAAUACGUAGGUGGCAAGCGUUGUCCGGAUUUAUUGGGUUUAAAGGGUGCGUAGGCGGUCCUAUAAGUCAGUUGUGAAAUACGGCAGCUUAACUGUUGAGGUACAAUUGAUACUGCAGGACUUGAGUACAGACGAGGU